rnacentral:rRNA from 1 species
UUGAACGCUGGCGGCAGGCCUAACACCUGCAAGUCGCGCGGAUGAAGGGAGCUUGCUCCUGGAUUCAGCGGCGGACGGGUGAGUAAUGCCUAGGAAUCUGCCUGGUAGUGGGGGAUAACGUCCGGAAACGGGCGCUAAUACCGCAUACGUCCUGAGGGAGAAAGUGGGGGAUCUUCGGACCUCACGCUAUCAGAUGAGCCUAGGUCGGAUUAGCUAGUUGGUGGGGUAAAGGCCUACCAAGGCGACGAUCCGUAACUGGCCUGAGAGGAUGAUCAGUCACACUGGAACUGAGACACGGUCCAGACUCCUACGGGAGGCAGCAGUGGGGAAUAUUGGACAAUGGGCGAAAGCCUGAUCCAGCCAUGCCGCGUGUGUGAAGAAGGUCUUCGGAUUGUAAAGCACUUUAAGUUGGGAGGAAGGGCAGUAAGUUAAUACCUUGCUGUUUUGACGUUACCAACAGAAUAAGCACCGGCUAACUUCGUG